rnacentral:rRNA from 1 species
CAAAAACAUGUCCUUUAGAAUUUUAUUUAAGGUCUGGCCUGCCCACUGAUAUUUUGAAUGGCCGCAGUAUUUUAACUGUGCAAAGGUAGCAUAAUCAUUAGUCUUUUAAUUGAGGGCUUGUAUGAAUGUCUGGACGAAAUAUUAACUGUUUCAUAAAAAUUGAUUUAGAAUUUUAUUUUUUAGUUAAAAAGCUAAAAUUUUUUUAAAAGACGAGAAGACCCUAUAGAUCUUUAUAUUUUAUGUAUUAUAAUUAUUUAGAUUAUUUAAAUUAUGAUUAUAUAAAUUAUUUUGUUGGGGUGACAUUAAAAUUUAGUUAACUUUUAAUUAUUAUCUACAUUUAUUUAUGAUUAAUUGAUCCAUUAAUGAUGAUUAAAAAAUUAAGUUACCUUAGGGAUAACAGCGUAAUUUUUUUGAAGAGUUCAUAUCGAUAAAAAAGAUUGCGACCUCGAUGUUGGAUUAAGAGAUAGUUUUGGGUGCAGCAAUUCAAUUAUUAAGUCUGUUCGACUUUUGAUUUCUUACAUGAUCU